rnacentral:rRNA from 1 species
UUAAGGGCGCACGGUGGAUGCCUUGGCACUAGAAGCCGAUGAAGGACGUUACUAACGACGAUAUGCUUUGGGGAGCUGUAAGUAAGCUUUGAUCCAGAGAUUUCCGAAUGGGGAAACCCAGCAUGAGUUAUGUCAUGUUAUCGAUAUGUGAAUACAUAGCAUAUCAGAAGGCACACCCGGAGAACUGAAACAUCUUAGUACCCGGAGGAAGAGAAAGAAAAUUCGAUUCCCUUAGUAGCGGCGAGCGAAACGGGAAGAGCCCAAACCAAAAAGCUUGCUUGUUGGGGUUGUAGGACACUCUAUACGGAGUUACAAAGGACGACAUUAGACGAAUCAUCUGGAAAGAUGAAUCAAAGAAGGUAAUAAUCCUGUAGUCGAAAAUGUUGUCUCUCUUGAGUGGAUCCUGAGUACGACGGAGCACGUGAAAUUCCGUCGGAAUCUGGGAGGACCAUCUCCUAAGGCUAAAUACUCUCUAGUGACCGAUAGUGAACCAGUACCGUGAGGGAAAGGUGAAAAGCACCCCGGAAGGGGAGUGAAAUAGAACCUGAAACCGUGUGCUUACAAGUAGUCAGAGCCCGUUAAUGGGUGAUGGCGUGCCUUUUGUAGAAUGAACCGGCGAGUUACGAUUUGAUGCAAGGUUAAGCAGUAAAUGUGGAGCCGUAGCGAAAGCGAGUCUGAAUAGGGCGUUUAGUAUUUGGUCGUAGACCCGAAACCAGGUGAUCUACCCUUGGUCAGGUUGAAGUUCAGGUAACACUGAAUGGAGGACCGAACCGACUUACGUUGAAAAGUGAGCGGAUGAACUGAGGGUAGCGGAGAAAUUCCAAUCGAACCUGGAGAUAGCUGGUUCUCUCCGAAAUAGCUUUAGGGCUAGCCUCAAGUGAUGAUUAUUGGAGGUAGAGCACUGUUUGGACGAGGGGCCCCUCUCGGGUUACCGAAUUCAGACAAACUCCGAAUGCCAAUUAAUUUAACUUGGGAGUCAGAACAUGGGUGAUAAGGUCCGUGUUCGAAAGGGAAACAGCCCAGACCACCAGCUAAGGUCCCAAAAUAUAUGUUAAGUGGAAAAGGAUGUGGCGUUGCCCAGACAACUAGGAUGUUGGCUUAGAAGCAGCCAUCAUUUAAAGAGUGCGUAAUAGCUCACUAGUCGAGUGACACUGCGCCGAAAAUGUACCGGGGCUAAACAUAUUACCGAAGCUGUGGAUUGUCCUUUGGACAAUGGUAGGAGAGCGUUCUAAGGGCGUUGAAGCAUGAUCGUAAGGACAUGUGGAGCGCUUAGAAGUGAGAAUGCCGGUGUGAGUAGCGAAAGACGGGUGAGAAUCCCGUCCACCGAUUGACUAAGGUUUCCAGAGGAAGGCUCGUCCGCUCUGGGUUAGUCGGGUCCUAAGCUGAGGCCGACAGGCGUAGGCGAUGGAUAACAGGUUGAUAUUCCUGUACCACCUAUAAUCGUUUUAAUCGAUGGGGGGACGCAGUAGGAUAGGCGAAGCGUGCGAUUGGAUUGCACGUCUAAGCAGUAAGGCUGAGUAUUAGGCAAAUCCGGUACUCGUUAAGGCUGAGCUGUGAUGGGGAGAAGACAUUGUGUCUUCGAGUCGUUGAUUUCACACUGCCGAGAAAAGCCUCUAGAUAGAAAAUAGGUGCCCGUACCGCAAACCGACACAGGUAGUCAAGAUGAGAAUUCUAAGGUGAGCGAGCGAACUCUCGUUAAGGAACUCGGCAAAAUGACCCCGUAACUUCGGGAGAAGGGGUGCUCUUUAGGGUUAACGCCCAGAAGAGCCGCAGUGAAUAGGCCCAAGCGACUGUUUAUCAAAAACACAGGUCUCUGCUAAACCGUAAGGUGAUGUAUAGGGGCUGACGCCUGCCCGGUGCUGGAAGGUUAAGAGGAGUGGUUAGCUUCUGCGAAGCUACGAAUCGAAGCCCCAGUAAACGGCGGCCGUAACUAUAACGGUCCUAAGGUAGCGAAAUUCCUUGUCGGGUAAGUUCCGACCCGCACGAAAGGCGUAACGAUUUGGGCACUGUCUCAACGAGAGACUCGGUGAAAUCAUAGUACCUGUGAAGAUGCAGGUUACCCGCGACAGGACGGAAAGACCCCGUGGAGCUUUACUGUAGCCUGAUAUUGAAAUUCGGCACAGCUUGUACAGGAUAGGUAGGAGCCUUUGAAACGUGAGCGCUAGCUUACGUGGAGGCGCUGGUGGGAUACUACCCUAGCUGUGUUGGCUUUCUAACCCGCACCACUUAUCGUGGUGGGAGACAGUGUCAGGCGGGCAGUUUGACUGGGGCGGUCGCCUCCUAAAAGGUAACGGAGGCGCUCAAAGGUUCCCUCAGAAUGGUUGGAAAUCAUUCAUAGAGUGUAAAGGCAUAAGGGAGCUUGACUGCGAGACCUACAAGUCGAGCAGGGUCGAAAGACGGACUUAGUGAUCCGGUGGUUCCGCAUGGAAGGGCCAUCGCUCAACGGAUAAAAGCUACCCCGGGGAUAACAGGCUUAUCUCCCCCAAGAGUUCACAUCGACGGGGAGGUUUGGCACCUCGAUGUCGGCUCAUCGCAUCCUGGGGCUGUAGUCGGUCCCAAGGGUUGGGCUGUUCGCCCAUUAAAGCGGUACGCGAGCUGGGUUCAGAACGUCGUGAGACAGUUCGGUCCCUAUCCGUCGUGGGCGUAGGAAAUUUGAGAGGAGCUGUCCUUAGUACGAGAGGACCGGGAUGGACAUACCUCUGGUGUACCAGUUGUCGUGCCAACGGCAUAGCUGGGUAGCUAUGUGUGGACGGGAUAAGUGCUGAAAGCAUCUAAGCAUGAAGCCCCCCUCAAGAUGAGAUUUCCCAACUUCGGUUAUAAGAUCCCUCAAAGAUGAUGAGGUUAAUAGGUUCGAGGUGGAAGCAUGGUGACAUGUGGAGCUGACGAAUACUAAUCGAUCGAAGACUUAAUC